GAUGAACGCUGGCGGUAUGCUUAACACAUGCAAGUCGAACGGACUCUUCGGAGUUAGUGGCGGACGGGUGAGUAACGCGUGAGAAUCUGGCUUUGGGUUCGGGACAACCACUGGAAAGGGUGGCUAAUACCGGAUGUGCCGAGAGGUAAAAGAGAAAUUGCCUGAAGAUGAGCUCGCGUCUGAUUAGCUAGUUGGUGAGGUAAAGGCUCACCAAGGCAGCGAUCAGUAGCUGGUCUGAGAGGAUGACCAGCCACACGGGGACUGAGACACGGCCCAGACCCCUACGGGAGGCAGCAGGGGGGAAUUUUCCGCAAGGGGCGAAAGCCUGACGGAGCAAUACCGCGUGAGAGAAGAAGGCUCUUGGGUUGUAAACCUCUUUUCUUAGGGAAGAACAAAAUGACGGUACCUAAGGAAUCAGCAUCGGCUAACUCCGUG
rnacentral:rRNA from 1 species